rnacentral:hammerhead_ribozyme from 1 species
AUCCAGCUGGAGAGUCCCAAAUAGGAUGAAACGCACGUCCUGGAU